rnacentral:sRNA from 1 species
UCUCCACGAAGUACUUUCUCAAAAUGCUUAAAGUUAAUAAUCAACCUGGUAUUGGUAAUGCAGACAGAGCACACGGUAUUUAGAUUGCUAUUCUACUAUAUAAAGAGAGCUCAUCCUUCUCAUAUAUCUCAACAUAUACUUACUCAAACAUAUUCUAUAAAAAUUUCCCAAAUUAAAUAUGCUAAUUUACGCAUUGGAUUUUUUCAUCCGAUUUCCUCGAAAGGAUGACUCACAGAUCAUGGAAUUGUGUAUAGGCACGGUUAACAACGGCACAAGUGACAAGACGGCGGACCAAAUCAAGGCGACAAUGGAAGCGGCUUACCGUGUAUUAUAUAGGCAUGCACCUUUACCUCGCAAUAUAUUUGGUCCCAUGUUCCCGAUGUCUUACCUCCAUGUCGCAGUGAGCUCGAGGGUUUUGCACAUACUCUCUAAGGUAUUAACAUAAAAUAAAUUUAUGUUCUGUAUAAAUCUGGGUUAUAAUAUCAUUGUCGGCUAUAUAUGAUAUAGGUACCGGAGAAAGUAGUAGAGAAUGGGUGGAACAAAAGGAAGGCGUGGAUAGAAGGAUCUGAUCGACAAGUGUUGAUGGG